rnacentral:rRNA from 1 species
UACGUAGGGGGCAAGCGUUGUCCGGAUUUAUUGGGCGUAAAGAGCGUGUAGGCGGCUUGACAGGUCUGCUGUGAAAACUCGAGGCUCAACCUCGAGAUGUCGGCGGAAACCGUCUGGCUAGAGUCCGGAAGAGGAGAGUGGAAUUCCUGGUGUAGCGGUGAAAUGCGCAGAUAUCAGGAAGAACACCUAUGGCGAAGGCAGCUCUCUGGGACGGUACUGACGCUGAGACGCGAAAGCGGGGGGAGCGAACAGG